rnacentral:lncRNA from 1 species
GCCGCCGGGGCUUCUCCUCUGAAGGGUGGGCGGAGAGCUUAGCGAGAGCCCGGGCGUUUGCAACUUUUCUUCACUUUCUCUUCCACCGCCCCCCGAAAGAGGGAAAAAAAAAUGUCGACAGGGAUGAAGAAGUUGAGAGCCUAUUGAGUCUGGCUAGCACUGCCUGCAUGCACAUGACUGUGGAGCCAUCCACUGGAGCCUGGGUAACGUAACAAUAGACACACUCCUAAAGAAAAAUGACUCUCCUGCUCAUCAAUUGAACUUGUGGAUUGCCAACAGUUCCUCGGCUGUGGGAAAGCCUCGUGAACUCCUCUCCCCUCCAGGCUGGAAUGUUGACUGACUUGAUCUCAUGCAGGUCUUGUGCUGGUAAGCACAGCUGUUGUGAGCUCAUGAGUGCCAUAGCCAUGCCAUGCCCAUAAAAGCAUUUCACAGC